AUUGAACGCUGGCGGCAGGCCUAACACAUGCAAGUCGAGCGAGCGGCGGACGGGUGAGUAAUGUAUGGGGACUGCCCGAUAGAUGGGGAUAACUACUGGAAACGGUGUCUAAUACCGCAUACUAUCGGAUAACCCAUAUGGGAUUAGCUAGUAGGUGGGGCAAAGGGUCACCUAGGCUACGAUCUGUAGCUGGUCUGAGAGGAUGAUCAGCCACACUGGGACUGAGACACGGCCCAGACUCUUACGGAGGCAGCAGUGGUGAAUAUUGCACAAUGGGCGCAAGCCUGAUGCAGCCAUGCCGCGUGUAUGAAGAAGGCCUUCGGGUUGUAAAGUACUUUCAGCCGGGAGGCGUGACCGACAGAAGAAGCACCGGCUAACUCCGGGCCAGCAGCCGCGGUAAUAC
rnacentral:rRNA from 1 species